CCCGCCCCCGCCCGCCGGCCGCGCUCCGGCCUCGCGCCGCUGCGGCGCCCGCGCCCCCGGAAGCUCCCUGCCGCCGCCGUGUGGACCCGCGAGGGAAGCCGGCCGCCACCGGCGCUUCUCCGAAACAAUGAUUCUGGCAUUGACUGAAGUUGGGAGCCAUGUACCUAUUAUACAGCCAAACUGAGGUCACUUAAGAAGUACUGAAAAUUAAGGAGCUGUUUUUACAAAAGCACUUCACCUAGUAGCUUCAAGCAUGAAAAAGGUGGGAAGGACUUACAGAUUUCCUAUUAUGAAUGUUAAGAUUUUGUACUGUAUUUAUUUUAAUGCCACUCCAAAAUGCAAAUAAGAUUUAGUUUUAAUGCAAAUAAGACGUGCUGUGCAAUUUCAGCCCAACAUUUACCACAUCUAGUAAAGCUUGAGCCUGGAAUCCAGAACAGGGCUGCUCCAAGAGCCCAGAAACCUUUGGAAUCGUAGAAGGAAUCUGACUGGGAAUCUGCAGACUGGAAGUUUCCUGAAAGUAAAAGAACCAAAAUGAGAUAUGCUACCCUAGUAUUGCCUCUUAAGUGAUGGCAAGGACGUGUUCUUGAGAAGACGAAACCUUUUUUGAGGGCUAAUAUUGCAUUAAAUUUCACACGUGGAGUCA